rnacentral:rRNA from 1 species
GACAGAGGGUGCAAACGUUGUUCGGAAUUACUGGGCGUAAAGCGCGUGUAGGCGGCCAUCUAAGUCGGGCGUGAAAUCCCACGGCUCAACCGUGGAAGUGCACUCGAAACUGGAUGGCUAGAGUCCUGGAGAGGAAGGUGGAAUGCUUGGUGUAGAGGUGAAAUUCGUAGAUAUCAAGCGGAACACCGGUGGCGGAAGGCGGCCUUCUGGACAGUGACUGACGCUGAGGCACGGAAAGCGAUGGGUAGCAAACAG